CCGCAGGAGGGUAGGUGAGCCCAGGCGAUGGUUGUCCUGGGGUAAGCGCGUAGGGAGAGGUCCAGGCGAAUCCGGCCCUCAUACAUCCUGAGACGCAAUGCCGAGCCGUUUAAGGCGAAGUCACUAAUCCCAUGCUGCCAAGAAAAGCCUCUAGCGAGCUUGCACGGUACCCGUACCCCAAACCGACACAGGUGGGCAGGUAGAGAAUACCAAGGCGAUCGGGAGAACUGUGGUUAAGGAACUCGGCAAAAUGCCUCCGUAACUUCGGGAGAAGGAGGACCCCAUCAGGGUGAAGGACCUCGCGUCCGGAGCUCGAAGGGGUGGCACAGACCAGGGGAAAGCGACUGUUUACUAAAAACACAGCAGCGUGCGAAGUCGUAAGACGAUGUAUACGCUGUGACGCCUGCCCAAUGCCGGAAGGUUAAAGGGAAAGGUUAGCCCGCAAGGGCGAAGCUUUGAACUGAAGCCCCGGUGAAUGGCGGCCGUAAUUAUAACGGUCCUAAGGUAGCGAAAUUCCUUGUCGGGUAAGUUCCGACCUGCACGAAUGGCGUAACGACUUUCCUACUGUCUCAACCACAGACCCGGCGAAAUUGAAGUACGAGUAAAGAUGCUCGUUAGCUGCAGAAGGACGGAAAGACCCCGUGGACCUUUACUAUAGCUUGAUGUUGAGUUUUGUUAUGUGUUGUGUAGGAUAGGUGGGAGACUUGGAAGCAUUGGCGCCAGCCAGUGUGGAGUCAACCUUGAAAUACCACCCUGCUCAUGACGGAGCUCUAACCCACGUCCCUGAUCGGGAUGGGGAACAGCGUCUGGUGGGUAGUUUGACUGGGGCGGUCGCCUCCUAAAGAGUAACGGAGGCGCCCAAAGGUUCCCUCAGGCUGGUUGGCAAUCAGCCGUCGAGUGCAAUGGCACAAGGGAGCUUGACUGCGAGACCUACAAGUCAAGCAGGUGCGAAAGCAGGGCAUAGUGAUCCGGCGGUUGCGUGUGGAAGCGCCGUCGCUCAACGGAUAAAAGGUACCCCGGGGAUAACAGGCUCAUCUUCCCCAAGAGUCCAUAUCGACGGGAAGGUUUGGCACCUCGAUGUCGGCUCAUCGCAUCCUGGGGCUGAAGCAGGUCCCAAGGGUUGGGCUGUUCGCCCAUUAAAGCGGUACGCGAGCUGGGUUUAGAACGUCGUGAGACAGUUCGGUCCCUAUCCUCUGCAGCCGGAAGGAACUUGAGAAAAUCUGUCCCUAGUACGAGAGGACCGGGAUGGACGCAGCUCUCGUGUGCCAGUUGUCCUGCCAAGGGCACUGCUGGUUAGCGACCUGCGGAAGGGAUAAGCGCUGAAAGCAUCUAAGUGCGAAGCCCAUUUCUAGAUGAGGUUCCUCACUGGGUUAACCAGGUAAGGCCCGUGAUAGACCAACACCUUGAUAGGCCGGAAGUGUAAGCGUGGUAACACGUUCAGCUGACCGGUACUAAUCGGCCGAGGGCUUGGAUUG
rnacentral:rRNA from 1 species